ACGGGAGGCAGCAGUGGGGAAUAUUGGGCAAUGGGCGCAAGCCUGACCCAGCAACGCCGCGUGAAGGAAGAAGGCCCUCGGGUUGUAAACUUCUUUUAUCAGGGACGAAGAAGUGACGGUACCUGAUGAAUAAGCCACGGCUAACUACGUGCCAGCAGCCGCGGUAAUACGUAGGUGGCGAGCGUUAUCCGGAUUUACUGGGUGUAAAGGGCGUGUAGGCGGGACAGCAAGUCAGAUGUGAAAACCAGGGGCUCAACCUCUGGCCUGCAUUUGAAACUGUUGUUCUUGAGUGUUGGAGAGGCAGGCGGAAUUCCGUGUGUAGCGGUGAAAUGCGUAGAUAUACGGAGGAACACCAGUGGCGAAGGCGGCCUGCUGGACAAUAACUGACGCUGAGGCGCGAAAGUGUGGGGAGCAAACAGGAUUAGAUACCCUGGUA
rnacentral:rRNA from 3 species